rnacentral:rRNA from 1 species
CGUUCUCAGUUCGGAUCGGAGUCUGCAACCCGACUCCGUGAAGCUGGAUUCGCUAGUAAUCGCGCGUCAGCCAUGGCGCGGUGAAUACGUUCCCGGGCCUUGUACACACCGCCCGUCAAGCCAUGGGAGCCGGGGGUGCUUGAAGUGCGUCGCCGCAAGGCGCGCCCUAGAGCAAAACCGGUGACUGGGGCUAAGUCGUAACAAGGUAGC